CCUUGAUGUGCAGGCGCUUUUGUCCUAGGGAAGAGCCUGGACUGUCAGACUUGCACUCGAGCCCGCAUGGGAUCAGAAAGGACGAGGCAUGAGCUGGGGAGACUGGGAGCCCACAAGCAGGCACAGAUGGAGGACCCCUUCCCAAGAGGAAUAAGAGAGGCUCUGGGCAUUGGGCCUCUGCUCCAGCUCAGCCCAGUACAGCUGAGCCCUGCCAUGAAAGACCCGCGGAAGCUAGACUUGUCCAGAUGUCAAAAGAUCUGAUGAUGCCAAGACACCUGGAGAUAGGAAAGAAGGUGGCAUUGACAGACCUCCAGGAUGCACACCUGAAACACACUUUGUUUUCACUUCAGGCUCAUGUUUCACCUUUUUAAAAAGCAUUCGGAAUUUCCCUGACUUCUUGGAAAUCCCAAAAAAAAGCCUGACUCUGGGAGAAGAGCCCAAAAGGGAGAGGAAGGGAGGAGGUGGCCAGAUCCCAGGUAAGGAGCGGGGAGGGAGGGGGCUGCUGGCACAGGAAUGACUGUCAGAGACACAUCCUGGAGGCCACAAUUCAACCCUCUCAACUUUUCCCAGAAAUUCCAAAAACUCCUUUAAAGCAGCAAGUGCAGGGUGUGAAAAGCAGGAGCCAUGCUAGAGGAGAGCCUGGGAAUGGGGAAAUGAUUACAGGCUGUGACCUCACUGGCGCAGCCCCUCUCAGCGGCAGUGGAAAGCACAGCCUAGACUUCUCACCACUGCACACCAGAAUCCUGCCCCGGGCCUUGCCUGGUCUGCCUGACUCUGCCAUGGGCUGCAGGCUCCUCUGCUGUGUGGCCCUCUGCCUCCUCCAAGCAGGUUCCUUGGACACAGCUGUUUCCCAGACUCCAAAAUAUCUGGUCACGCAGACGGGAAAAAACGAGUCCCUUAAAUGUGAACAAAAUCUGGGCCAUAAUGCUAUGUAUUGGUAUAAGCAGGACUCUAAGAAAUUGCUGAAGAUAAUGUUUAUCUACAAUAAUAAGGAGCCCAUUUUAAAUGAAACAGUUCCAAAUCGCUUCUCACCUAAAUCUUCAGACAAAGCUCAUUUAAAUCUUCACAUCAAGUCCGUGGAGCUUGGUGACUCUGCUGUGUAUUUCUGUGCCAGCAGCCAAGACACAGCCCUGCAGAGUCACCGCAUUCCCGUGCACAAACCUCCCAGCUCAGCCAGGAAGCUGUGGGCCAGGGUGUGCACCUGCACCCAAGGCUCCAGUCUCCACUGUCUGAUGGCCUCUGAUGGAGUUUCAGUCUGUAGUACAGACGGCUAGUGCACCUGAUGUGGCAAUUCUCCAUUUGAUGUACACAGAACUCUCCGAAUUCUGUUUAUCAGCUAAAGCAGGGGUUCACAACAAAGUCAGCAAAGUAUCAGGGCUCAGCUAACAAAACAGGAGCCUGUCCCAUGCACUGAAGAUCUUAACUGAUGGGAGAAGCCAUUUCUUAUCUUUGUCAGCUGCACAUAUGGGUACAUAUUUUAGCUAAGGUUAUGAUUACAAACGCAGUGUUGGUAAAAAAUGGUUGAUGAGCAUAAGCAUAAAGGAAGGGGAAGGAAAGCAUUUCUAAGAUCAAGAGACAAUUUGGAUUAUCAGUGAGUACUUUAACAGAGAAAUAUUUGGAGAGGCAUGAAAUGCCAUGGCAAUAGGUAAACUGGAAAGUGUUGAGGAGAAGCCAGUGGAGGCAACCUUGUGCCUUGUAGACUCCUUUUCUUCAAGGAGAGUGACCAGCAAGAGUCUCUCCCAAUUCUGAUGAACGUCUUCUUGAACUCUUCUCAACAGCAAGUGAUAGCUUGAUGACAGAGGAUAUUGGGAGACAUGGAAAGGACUUUGGAAACAAAUCCCUAGGUAGUGGUGAGCCACUGGUCCUACUCCAAGUGAAACAACAUGAUGAAACUGAUAUUUUGGUACAGGAACACUGAAAGUAGUGUGGAUCAGAAAGGAGAUAGAUUUUGGGGUGGUCUGAAGGAUUAGGAGACUUCUAAAUAUCCUCCAUGAAAGAAAGGGUUUAUGUAAAGCAUUGCGGACGAUAGACACUUGAGGCUCUGGAUUAUGUUAUUUCUUGGAAAGAGUGUUGGGUUUUAUUCUGGGAGGGUUAAAUGUAGGACUAGCUAGGGUCUGUUUCAGCUUCGCCCUCCCUCUUAGGGAGCCCCAGCAUGUGGUCAUCAUUGCUAGCGCAUGGCCUUCCCAGGGUCUUAGUGGGAAUCACAGUGUAUUCACCACAUCACUCCACUGUAACUGGGUCUGAAUGCCCUGGCUCUUCUGAAAUCUCUACCCUUGUCUUCAGCCUUCCAGAACUUGUUCUCUGCUCAGCCUUCGGGUCUGCCACCCUCUGCAUACACAAUUUAGGAUCUGGCUCAGGAGAAGAAAGUGGGGGGCGGGUUUCUUACAUAUGAUUUUUGGGUUCCUUUUUAGUACACUGUGUCCUAAAUCCCAACUGUCUUGGAGUCAGUUGUGUCCUAGCUUCAAUCACAUAUAGUACUGCUAUUUGGUAUAGACAUGUUUACUUGA